rnacentral:misc_RNA from 1 species
GAUGAAGAACGUAGCGAAAUGCGAUAAGUAAUGCGAAUUGCAGAUUUCAGUGAGUCAUCGAAUCUUUGAACGCACAUUGCGCCCGCCAGUAUUCUGGCGGGCAUGCCUGUUCGAGCGUCAUUUCAACCAUCAAGCCCCCGGCUUGUGUUGGGGACCUGCGGCUGCCGCAGGCCCUGAAAACCAGUGGCGGGCUCGCUAGUCACUCCGAGCGUAGUAAUACAUCUCGCUCAGGGCGUGCUGCGGGUUCCGGCCGUUAAAAAGCCUUAUUUACCCAAGGUUGACCUCGGAUCAGGUAGGAAGACCCGCUGAACUUAAGCAUAUCAAUAAGCGGAGGA